rnacentral:rRNA from 1 species
AUUGAACGCUGGCGGCAGGCCUAACACAUGCAAGUCGAGCGGAUGAAGGGAGCUUGCUCCUGGAUUCAGCGGCGGACGGGUGAGUAAUGCCUAGGAAUCUGCCUGGUAGUGGGGGAUAACGUCCGGAAACGGGCGCUAAUACCGCAUACGUCCUGAGGGAGAAAGUGGGGGAUCUUCGGACCUCACGCUAUCAGAUGAGCCUAGGUCGGAUUAGCUAGUUGGUGGGGUAAAGGCCUACCAAGGCGACGAUCCGUAACUGGUCUGAGAGGAUGAUCAGUCACAACGGAACUUGGAACAGGUCCAAGCUCCUAAGGGAGGGCACAGGGGGGAAUUUUUGACAAUGGGGGGAAGCCCUGACCCGGCCAGGCGGGGGGGUGAAAGAAGUCUUCCGGUUGGUAAGCACCUUAAGUUGGGAGGAAGGGCAGUAAGUUAAUACCUUGCUGUUUUGACGUUACCAACAGAAUAAGCACCGGCUAACUUCGUG